ACAGAGAUGUGUCCCCGUAAUCAGUGUGAUCACAAAAAGCCACGUACAGCUCUUUGAGCAAAGAACCAGGAGCAGCAGCAACCAGCCGGCUCUGCCUGUGCUCCUGUCACCUCUACUAAGAAAAAUCCAAUCACAUUACAAAACCAGCAAACAUCAGCAACGCAACGCUUUUCAGGAUUUCCACAAAUGGUAUUGGAGAGGCAGAUCUGGAUCUAGGAUUCUGGCAGUGCCACAAGGGAGACAGAAGGACACCAGUUCUUUUGCAGCAAAUCCUGUCCCUUUCACAGUAAACCAGCAAGGAUCUCGUAAUCUCUCUGUUGCAACUGAGACUAAUUUAACACACCAGAGAAAGUACCAGAGAAAGAAACUUUAUCUAGAAAUCAAAGAGAAUUUACCAUGGAACUUUUCCAGUGCUCAGAUGUCCUUGCUCCUGCGCCCCAAAGCACACAGAUCCUGUGGGUCCAGCAGUCCCAUCCCAACACUCUGAAUGCUGUUGAAUAAGAGAGGUUUGUAUCCCUCUAAUUUCAACUGGGGGAGAUUCAUCCUUUCUUCACUCCUUUCCCUUAUCCGUAUCAGUGCUUGACAAAUAACAUGAUUUCUUCCACUGUACUGUUACUGGCUAACACCAAGUGGGAAUGUGCUGGUUUGGCUGAAAAUGAGUUAAUUUUCUUCCUGCAGUUAGAAACCUUCCUUUUUCAUAGCUAGCACAGUCAUUAUUUGGACUUAGUUUGAGAACAAGAGAUAACUCCCCAGCAAAGUUAACGUUUUUAAUUGCUCUGGUCUGAGAACCAAGGAUGCUUUGAGCUCUGCACACAGGUAUGAGGCAUUGAGGGAGGGGGGAAUAGAUAGGGCAGAGCUUGACUGACAUCCAGGCUGAUCAAUAAGAGUAUUCUGUCCCAUUAGCAUAAUGCUUCAUUUUUAAGAAGAGUCGGGAUCUUUCAGUCUCGCCUGCUCUCUCUCUUGCGUUCUUCUUUGCUCUUUUUGUUGGAGUCAGGGGAGUUCUGUCUGGGACAUUUAAUUCAGUCUUUUGCCAUCCUGCCAUUUUGCAGAAGCCUCUGGGCCUUUCUGCCUUUUUCCCUUUUUUCUCUUUCCGGGAUCAGCUGUUGAGGACUGGAUGCUGCUUCCUGGAAUUG